GGGUUCAUACAAUCAUGCUUGGUUCAUAUACUGACUAUGAUGAAUACUCUGAUCAAUAUAGAUGGCUGAAGGUUAGCUGAGCUCUCAUUUAUUCCUGAAAUGGAAAUCUUCUACUCCCUCCAUUCAUUUUUAUUUGUCCACUGUUGAAUUUGCAUACCUCUUAAGAAAUAAUAAAUAAAAUGCAUAAUUUACCAUAAUACCCAUAUUAAUUGGUGUGUAGUCUUAAUGGAUAUGAAACAUGAUUUGGAAUGAGUAAUUAAUGCUAGCUACUCUAAGGGGAAUGUUUUUAUGCGGUGCUAACGAUUUAAUAACUAUGUUUGUAGCCCCAUAAUGUUUCAGUUUAUGCUCCUACCUAUUAUCUGGAUAUACCAAGAAAUAUAUACAGUCUAAUGAGGCUACUAUGAAAUAUUUACUCAUGGGUGGGGCAAGCUCUUCUAUUCUGGUUCAUGGUUUCUCUUGGCCAUAUGGUUCAUCCGGGGGAGAGAUUGAGCUUCAAGAAAUAGUAAACGGUCUUAUCAAUACACAAAUGUAUAACUCCCCAGGAAUUUCUAUUGCGCUCAUAUUCAUUACCGUAGGAAUUGGGUUCAAGCUUUCCCCAGCCCCUUCUCAUCAAUGGACUCCUGACGUAUACGAAGGAGUGCGUGUAGGAAUUGGGUUCAAGCUUUCUCCAGCCCCUUCUCAUCAGUGGACUCCUGACGUAUACGAAAGAGUGCGAUUCGUUCGAGAAAUUAGAUCCUGAACUAAGGUAUGAUUGCGAACAUUAUUGAGGUCAGUCUUUUCAGAUUACGGGUGACAAGCGAAUGCCAAAGUUCGAAAGGUAUGAGCUCUGCUCGUACUGAAUACGGGUAAUUCCCCGCCCACUUACCCAACAUUUUAAUAGAGGGACAACCAGCAGUGAGGCCAUUGGACCAAUAAACAAUAGGCGCAAGUAGCUUGAAAUCAAAAAGGGUGAAAUCAGGGGCUAAUCUACAUUUUCAGCACGAGUUAAGACAAAGGAAUGGUCCCAGUUAAGGGGAUUGCACCUUCAGUAGAGGGACAACCAGCAGUGAGGCCAUUGGACCAAUAAACAAUAGGCGCAAGUAGCUUGAAAUCAAAAAGGGUGAAAUCAGGGGCUAAUCUACCUUUUCAGCCCGAGUUAAGACAAAGGAAUGGUCUCACUCAGGGGGAAACCUUCAUUAUACAAAGAAGCUGAGCGAUUGACAUCGAAUAAGAGUCCGCAUGAGAGGAGACUAAAAAAGACCAAUCACUUGCUUAUUCGCCAGCUUAGGUUUCGGUUGCAGAUGCGAUUGAUUAUGCCAUUCUUGCUUUCGGUGGAAGAGAAUGACGAAGAUCUAGGCAUGCACAUUCAUGGAGAGGCCAAGUAAUGGGUUACGGUUCUGCGACAGGUGAAGUUUCGGUUGGAAAUGCCUUCUUGGGUUACUCUUUCCUUUGAUCGCAUGUUUUAUCAGUGGAAGGUGUCGAAUGAUGGCCGACUUGUCUUGUCUUUUUGAUUGAUUGGCUUACGGAUGGAAGGUUCGGACAAGAAUUCCUAGGCCGAGUGUUGGGCUUUCGGGAUCAAAGAAUCUUAAGAAUAGUAAUUAAUGCUAAGGGCAACAACAACUACAACAACAACAACUACCCAGUAAUGUACCACAAAGUGGGGUCUGGGGAGGGUAAUAUGUAGACGAGCCUUACCCCUACCCGAAAGGGGAGAGAGGCUGUNNNNNNNNNNNNNNNNGGUCUGGGGAGGGUAAUAUGUAGACGAGCCUUACCCCUACCCGAAAGGGUAGAGAGGCUGUUUCCAGUCGACCCUCAGCUCAGUGAAGGAGAGGAAAAACAAAUAUAAAAACAAAAAAAAAAGAGCAUUAGUAAGUCCAGCAGAAAUAGCAUAAAUAAUUAUCUAAACAUAAGAACCAUAAAUAAAAUAGCAUGCAAUAAUAUCAGACAGUAACUAUCAUAAAUAACUAACAUAAGGGAUACACAAUCCAAUACACAAAUCCUCUAUGGAUAGCCUGCCAAGCCUCACCCAACCCCGGCUGAGGAGUACGAAAAACUCUAGGGGCCCCUAUCCUACAACCCUGAUACUAGACCUCCAGACUUUCCUAUCAAGGGCCAUGUCCUCAGAAACCCGCAUUNNNNNNNNNNNNNNNNNNNNNNNNNNNNNNNNNNNNNNNNNNNNNNNNNNNNNNNNNNNNNNNNNNNNNNNNNNNNNNNNNNNNNNNNNNNNNNNACCUCUUAGGCCUCCCUCUGCCUCGCCGUGCGCCGACCAUCGCCAGCCGCUCACAACUCCUCACCGGGGCAUCAGGACUUCUCCUCCGUACAUGCUCGAACCACCUCAACCUCGCUUCUCGCAUCUUCUCAUCAAUCGGGGUAAUUAAUGCUAAGGGUAAAACAAGAAAAAUAAAUUAUUGUUCUUUUUUUCGGAAAAGGCAUCGAAACCUGGCUCUGAUAUUGUGCACAUCAGUUGAGCUUCCCAUCCCAUCUUUUAUUCUUUUUCGGAAAAGGGUUAUCAACUACUCCCUCGUUCACUUUUACUUGUCCACUAUUAACUUUGCACACUCCUUAAGAAGUAAUAAAUAAAGUGCAUAAUUUACCAUUGUGCCAAUAUUGAUUAGUGUUUAGUCUUAAUGGAUUUGAAAAAUGAUAUGAAAUGUGUAAUUAAUAUUAAAGGCAAAACAGGAAAAAUAAAUUACUUUUCUCUUUUUCGGAAAAAGGAUCAAAAAAUCGAUUGUUAUGCUAAUAAAUGGACACCUAGUUCAUUUUGUGUUUCAUAUUAGCACUAGAGGCUUCCUUCGAAUUUCACACAAUAUCCAUAUGAUCUAUCCUCUAUCUUCUGGUUAUUCAGCUAUUUAAUUGUUUCAGCAGAGGGGGAAGUAAGGUUGUAUGGCAUGUAUUCAGAGGAAAAAAAAACAAGAAUCCCUUGACAUGCUUAAUUGAAAAGCAUAGCGUCAUGUCGUUUUGCUAAUAUAAAUGCAUUUAUUGGAAAUUCAACUGUAGGCUGAUCUUCUAAAAGUAAACCGUAAAAAGACUCCUUGGCUGGUUGUGUUAUUCCAUGUGCCAUGGUAUAAUAGUAACGAAGCCCAUCAAGGUGAAGCUGAUGACAUGAUGACAGCUAUGGAGCCUUUGCUGUAUGCAGGCGGUGCAGAUAUAGUGUUUGCUGGACAUGUUCAUGCUUAUGAGCGCACGGUAUGCCUGGCUUGCUUAUUAGCUUCUUAUUCUUGAUAUUGGAUGUAUAACACAACUAUUCUUUUCUUUUACAACAGAAACGGGUUUAUAAUGGUAGACCUGAUCCUUGUGGUGCUGUUCACAUAACAAUUGGCGAUGGAGGAAAUAAAGAAGGUUUAGCGCGCAAGUAAGUCUUCCUUGAGUAAUUUUUCCUCUAGCUGAGCACAAGGAAUCCUUAAAAUGACAAUGGAAGUAAGAACUCGUUUAGAACAUAAAUGGUCUCUGUAUUCUUCUUUGCAUUUCUUUCACACAUUUAGCUUAGGAGGUGGUUCAUCAUAGUUGAACAACUUUACCAUUGCAAAAUUUGGAUUUAGAAGUUUCUAGGUGCCACUUUAGUUAAAAUUAGAGGGGGAGUUAUUAUGAUGCUGAACUUACAUGUCAUGACAAAUUAUUGACAGGUACAAGCUACCCCAGCCAGAAUGGUCCGUCUUCCGUGAAGCAAGCUUUGGCCAUGGUGAACUUGCGAUAAUUAAUUCAACUCAUGCCUCUUGGAGUUGGCAUAGGAAUGAUGAUGAUGAACCAGUAAGGUCUGAUCAGGUUCAAAUUACCUCGUUGAUUGGUUCUGGAUGCAGCAGCGUUGCAGGUAGUCGAGAACUAAGAAAAAACCUUGUGGAUCCUUAGCUCUCUUUGAAACUGAACUCUUAAACAGGCAUGGAUUACCUCGUUGAUUGGUUCAGGAUGCAGCAGCGUUGCAGGCAGUCAUGAACUAAGAAAAAUCCUUGUGGAUCCUUAGCUCUCUCUCUGAAACUGAACUCUUAAUCAGGCAUGUAUAUGUAUAGUCAGGUGACAGUUAUAUCUAUUGUUAUGCCAUUAUAUCCUGGUCCUUUAUUAUCUUGGACUGCGCCUAGUUAGACCUCCAUUGUAACAGUUUAAUCUAUUCUGUCUUGUUUUGAAGUAGAUUAGUACUAAUAUUGAGAAGCCAGAGGCUUUAAUGUCUUUAUAAUCUCUGUUGCUGGUUUAGGUUGCACUUUGUGUGGCUUAGAUGUUUAUAGAAAUGUAACAUUUCUGGCCUCCUCUUCCACCACCCCACACACAUAUUAAUGGAGAGAAAAAUAAAUGCGCGUGCGUGAAGGCAGAUUAUUCAUGCAAGUUGCUUGCUGCAUCCAAUAUAUGUAUUUGGUAUGAAAAACAGUAUCUAGGAUAAAGUCAUAUCGAUUAGGGCUAGUUUGGCUGAUUAAGACAUUUUCUGCAAGUGUGAUUUUUUUUUUGUACAGAAGAAUGUUAAGGUAUGGAAAUGACCAUUGACUCCUUAGAAGAAUGUAUUGAUUAAGGUAUGGAAAGGACCAUUGACUCCUUAGUUUUAGUCUCUAAAUGAAAUGUAACUCGUAAAUUCUUUCCUUUACGGGAUUAUUACUUACGUACUCGCCUUCAAUUGCCCUUGUACUUGGUUUACCAAUAUCAGUUUAUUAUCAGCAAAUAUUUUAUACUUUUGAGACACAUGAAGCUGACAAAGAUAGCCAAACUACAGACAUCAGUUUUUCGCAUUUGUUAUAUUUCAACAUCAUUUGAUGAUAAAGAAGCAGCUGUAAUAGUACAGAGUCUACAG
rnacentral:lncRNA from 1 species